rnacentral:rRNA from 1 species
UAAAGCUAGCUCCCAUGCUGCCUGAGGGAUGGCUUGGCUUGACAGGCGAUGAAGGUCCUGGUAAGCUGGGAAAAGUCAGGGCGAGUCGCAUGCAGACUUCGAACCCUGAAUCGCCUAAUGGGACAUCCCUUAUAUUCACGGCAAAAAGCUGUGAAAGCGAACGCGGAGAAUUGAAAGAGAAGAAGUUGAUUAAACAAAUAAAAAAUAUAUGAGGAACACAGAUUGAUUUUAUAGUUGAGUUAAAUGGAUCAAAUAUAACCGAAAAUAAUUUCAGCUUCUUCUCCAAGAAACAUCUUAAUAUCCGCAGGAAAAGAAAGCAAACGCGAUGUUGUUAGUAAAGGCGAUUGAACGCAACAGAGAACAAACCGAACCUUUGCAGAAAUGCAAUAGGAAUGUGGGGUUUGGACCUGUUUUUGACUUAACUUUCUAUCUGAAGUCUCCUGGAAAGGAGUGCCAUAGACAGUGAUAGCCUGGUAAGAAAAAGAAAGAAAGUUGUUAUUCAGGUAUCCAGAGUAUGAUUGGUUGAAUUUCCAGUCAGAAUGCGGGAGUCAUCAACUUCCAAUUCUAAAUUACUCGUCAAGUCCGAUAGCGAAGUAGUAGGGUGACUGAAAGCUCAAAAGUAUCCAUAAAAGGAGUUGAAAAGAGCCUGAAAUCAGGUAGCUACAGUUAGGCAGUGAAAGCCCGGCAACGGGUAUAAGCUGCUGUUAGUUUUGAAAAACUAAGCAGGGAGUUUUGGAUCGUGGCAAGGUGAAAGCCGUAGCGAAAGCGAAUAUCGUAUGAAAGUGCGUAAGUCACGGUCUGAAUACCCGAAACCGCAGUGAUCUAGGCCUGAGUAAGGUGAAGUCGCGCGAAAGCGCGAUGGAGGCCUGAACUGGUUUUGGUACAAACCACUCAGAUGACUUGGGUCUAGGGGUGAAACGUGAGACGAACAAAGUUCAUCUACGUUUGUUGCUCACGCACCAAAAGCCAAUCGAACGCGGUGAUAUCUUUAGGGUUAAUAGCAAACAUACGGCUUAGCAUCCAUAUUCUCUUUUUCGGUCCUUUAGACACGAAAAAUAGAUAAGGAUGCUUCGCCUAAAUAGUAAACAUGAAAACAAGAAUUCCAAUUGAAAAUUAUCUGAGAAUGUUCAGAAACCAAAAUAUUUAUAUGAGUGGUUGCGAGAAAAUCGUUAAAAAAUAUGAACAUAAAAUUAAAAAAUUAUCUAAAAAGAAGAUAUCAUUUCAUCAAAAUGAUUUCGAUUCUUUGAAAUUUAUUAAGAACGUUCUUAAUAAUUUCGGUAUAAAGACUGGUGAAAUAUUUCUUCAGGAUAAAAGAAAGUGUUAUGCUCUUUAUAUUCAAUCUACAGAUGGAAUACAAAAAUUUGCUUCUUUGUUUGAACCUAUUCAGAAAAAGAAGAGAAUUAAUGAUUUAUUAGAUGUUUUGCUUCCUAAAGACACCAAAGCUGGUUCCUCCCGAAAUGAGUCUCAGCUCAGCCUGGUUCUAUAGACAUCAAUGGGGUAGGGCACUGAUUAGACAACCAAGGGAAGAAAUUCCCAGUUGCCUUGUCAAACCGCGAAUCUGUUGAUACUGGAACUGGAGUGAGAGCAUCUGGAGUAAUUUUGGUGCUCGAGAGGGAAACAACCCAGACUUAUGUUAAGGUCCCUAAGUACUGACUAAGUGUAUCGAAAGUAGUCUUGAAUUUUAGACACUGGGGAGGUUGACAUAGAAGUCGUCAUCCUUUAAACAACGUGUAAAAGCCCUUUUUCUUUUUAUAAGAAAUCUAUGAAAAAAGAAAAAGCUCUUGGGGAAAAAGAAAAAUAUAAUAUAUUUUCCAUAAACGUUUUUUCGUAGAUAAAAAUUUUCGAUUCUCGAAAAAGGGUUUCAUGAUAUAACGGACCCACCAAAAUUCAGGGCGCUGAAAAUGGACGGGGCUAAGUCAGUUACCGAUACAUAAGAUGUGCGAUUUAUAAUCGUAUGUGGUAGGGAGGCGUCCUGCGAGGGCAGAAGCUUGUCUGUAAAGAUGAGUGGACCUCGCUGGAAUGAAAAUCCUGCUGGGAGUAGCAAACAAGCCGGGUGAGAAUUCCGGUCGCCAAAAGGGUAAGAGUUCCCCAGUAAAGCUUAUCUACUGGGGGGUAGUCGAUCCUAAUUGCAACCCUAACUGGGAUUGCGAGAAAGGGCAUACGGUUAAUAUUCCGUAACCAAUGAUAUUUCGUUUAUGUUGCAUUCAACGUUUUAGGAUAGGCUGACCAUGAUUGUCGUCGUGGCCAAUCAUCUAAACAGGAGGAGAUGCGUCAUGCAGAGAAUCUUGUGAAGAUGCCAUGGGGCUGCUGUAUGGUGGCUUCAGUUGAUUCCUAGAACCAUUGAAAAGAAAUGCAAACAGAAAUGCCAUUGUUCGUAUCGAAAACCGACACAGGUACCCAUGCUAAGAACUGGUAUUAGGUGAAAAAUAUGAGUUAUGCAGCAAUGUGUCAUAUUGAGAUAAGAAAUGUCAGUAUAGUAUCACUAUAAUACCACUUAAUGGCGAAGGUGUUCGGGAUAAUCAACCUAAAGGAAUUCGGCAAAUGAGCGUAGAAUUCGUCCAAUAAGCACUGUAAAUUUUAAAAAUUUUAUUCCUAUAAUUUAUAUGGUACUUAGAUGUUAUUAUGUAAAUUCAUUGCAGUCUCCUGUCAGAUGGUUCUGUAGAUAAAAAGCGAUACACCGUAUCUUUUACAAAAGAUAAUGUUGAAAAGUUUCUACAUAAUUGUGUGGAAUUGAUAAAUAAUCAAAAAGAGUUUCGUGAUUUUAUAAAAUUAAAAUUGAAUUCUACACUCAGUCGAGAUUAGUCCUGUACGUUUUCCAUAAGGGAUGCCUGCUUAGAGAUAAGCAGGUCGCAGUGACUAGGGGAUUCCGACUGUUUAACAAAAACAUAGCUGGCUGCUAGUCCGAAAGGAUGUGUAUAGCCAGUGAAUCGUGGCCACUGGUGGUCGGUUAAACUCAGUUUCAACUGGGCAAAGCCCCACUAUAGGCCGGCCCUAACUCUAGUACGACGAGCAGAGCUCGUCUUUCGGUGAAGAGGGUCUUAAGGUGAUGAUAAAAAAGCCUGUACUUCGUACAGCACGCUACGUUGCCUUAAUAAAAUUUGGCUGUAUGCUGGAACGUCCAGAUUUUCCAAGUCCUGAGAAAGGAAUAAUCUUGGAAGUAUGAGGAUAAUCAGCAGGAAACCGCUGGGGGUGAGAAACCAUGAAAUCAAAGUAUGUCAAACAUUAUCUCAGAGGUUUUACAGAUGCAGAAGGAUGUUUCAGUAUUUCUUUGAAAAAAGAUGAUAAGGCGAGAUUUGGUUGGGUUCUAGAUCCUUUAUUUCAAAUAACGCAACACAAAAAAGGCGCUAAGGUUCUAGAAAUUUUCAAAACAGAAUUAAAAUGUGGUAGAAUAAUAGAAAAACCAGGACAACCUGAUCUUUUGCUUUUAUUGAUUGAUAACAGAAGACAAUUAAUGGAACACGUAAUACCGUUCUUUGAAAAAAAUAAACUUUUAUUAAAGAACGAUGACUUUGAAAAAUUUAAAGAAAUUAUAACUGGAAUGGAAAAUAAAAUGCAUCAAAGAAGAGGUGAUUUCAUAGAACUUAUUAAAAAAUGUUAUGAAAUGAAUAUGGAAGGAAAACAGAGAAGAUAUAAACUUGAGGAUAUUCUAAAAGACGUAAAUAAAAAAGCGGGCUCCUCAGAGACUAAAAGCCAAACACAAAGCGAAAAUGCUUUGUGAAGAUAUAGUCCGAACCUCAUGGUAACAUGAGGAGUUAUGCAGAAAUGUAUAACCGCUUCUAAAGAAAACCUGAAUAUUUUGAUUUGUUCUUUAGAUGUCAGAAAAGUAACAGAAUUGAGCGUAAUCCCUUGCCAACUAAUUAUUGGCCUGCAUGAUAGAUCAACGAGAGUCCCACUGUCUCUAGGUUGAACCCGGCGAAACCAUCUUUCUGGUGAUUAGGCCAGAGACUUCCGAUGGGAAGAGUAGACCCCGUGGAGCUUUACUGCAGUUUAUUGUUGUAGUAUGGUCGUUGUUGUAUAGCGUAGGUAGGAGACGUCGAAGCGAAGGCGAAAGCUGACGUGGAGUCACUAAAGACCUGACACAUCGAAAACACUGACGAGCUUCGCUCGUCUUUCGAGUGUGUGUCAGUCGGUGAGUGUAACACUACCCUUCAAUUUCCAUAUUGCUAACGUGAAGAAAUUUGCGGACAUCAGUAAAUGGGCAGUUUGACUGGGGCGGUACGGCUUUGAAACGGUAUCAAAGCCGCUCUAAGGUCUCCUCAGUCCGGUCAGAAAUCGGGCGGCGAGUGUAAGCGCAAAAGGAGGCUUGAUUGGAUUCUGAACAACGAGGAAUCCAAGGGCGAAAGCCUGAGCUAGCGAUACGCACAUUGGCCUUGAUGGCUGUGUGUGACGUCAGAAAAGCUACCCCGGGGAUAGAUUUAUAAAUGUCUACUUGAAAACAGAAGCACGAAAGAAAAAGGAUUUGUCUUUGGAGCAAGUCACGACGGUAUAGUUUAUUACAGAGAAAACAAGAACUAAUAUGGAUUGGAAAUUGAUCAAAAAUCCAGAGAAUGGCUAUAAGAAAUCUAGAAUUAGUUCUUGCACAAAACAUAGAUUUCCAGAUAGGAUUUCUUCAAGGAAUUUUCGAUGCAAAAGGAAGUGUUCGUUUAAAUCGCAAACACAUAACAACAAAUUCUAAUAACAUGAAAACAAUUUCCGUCGUUACGCGAUUGCUCAAUGAUAUAUGAAUUAACAUUGGUAAACCCUUUAAUAAUUUAUCUGAAUUUAGGAAAUUUGUCGAUUUUAUACAUCCUGAAAAGAAACGAAGACUUCGAAUGCUUUUGUAAUGAAAUCGUUUGUAAAUCCCUCAAAAUGGUGUCGUAGCGGGUUAGAGUUCAUAAUCCGCGCUCUUCCAUAAAAGAAGAAUAGACGCGGUUGAACCUAUCGACCCCGCGUGUUGCGGCGUCGCUGUCGGCUCCCCCUCUCCUGGCUGUGCAGAAAAGCCUUUUUAUGCCCUUUCUUUUUCAAAAAAAGAAAGUGCAUCCGGAAAGAAAAAUUCUUUUUGGAAAAAUCUUUGUAUAAAAAGGUUCUGCAAGCAGCCAAGGGUGCCGGAGUUCACGGAUUAAAAGGGGACGUUAGCUGGGUUCAGAACGGCGUGAGCCAGUUUGGUCUAUAUCUGUCGGAAGUGCUAAUGCCUGAGAGGAAGGGACAAUAAGUACGAAAGGAACAUUUUCCCGGGGCCUCUGGUUUAUCAGCUGUCUGAUAAGGCAAGUUGAGUAGCUACGCCCUAAUGGAUAACACCUGAAAGCAUCUAAGGUGUAAGCCAUUCUCAAAACAAGGCAUUCGGCUGGAGCAAGACGACUCCUCUAUGGAGCAGGGGUGUAAGCAUCAAGCUUCGGCGAGAUGUUCAGCCCACUGUUUCCUAUGCUAAUGCUAGCUUCC